CUACGGGAGGCUGCAGUGAGGAAUAUUGCACAAUGGAGGAAACUCUGAUGCAGCAACGCCGCGUGGAGGAUGACGCAUUUCGGUGUGUAAACUCCUUUUAUGAGUCAAGAAAAUGACGGUAGCUCAUGAAUAAGCACCGGCUAACUCCGUGCCAGCAGCCGCGGUAAUACGGAGGGUGCAAGCGUUACUCGGAAUCACUGGGCGUAAAGGACGCGUAGGCGGGUUGGAAAGUCAGGUGUGAAAUCCUACAGCUUAACUGUAGAACUGCACUUGAAACUUCUAAUCUAGAGUAUGGGAGGGGGAGAUGGAAUUAGUGGUGUAGGGGUAAAAUCCGUAGAUAUCACUAGGAAUACCUAAAGCGAAGGCGAUCUCCUGGAACAUUACUGACGCUAAGGCGUGAAAGCGUGGGGAGCAAACAGGAUUAGAUACCCGAGUAGUC
rnacentral:rRNA from 1 species